rnacentral:rRNA from 1 species
UACAGAGGUCUCAAGCGUUGUUCGGAUUCAUUGGGCGUAAAGGGUGCGUAGGUGGCGCUGUAAGUCGGGUGUGAAAUUUCGGAGCUUAACUCCGAAACUGCAUUCGAUACUGCGGUGCUUGAGGACUGGAGAGGAGACUGGAAUUCAUGGUGUAGCAGUGAAAUGCGUAGAGAUCAUGAGGAAGACCAGUGGCGAAGGCGGGUCUCUGGACAGUUCCUGACACUGAGACACGAAGGCCAGGGGAGCAAACGGG